rnacentral:rRNA from 1 species
UUUUUGGGCUUGGUAAUUGGAAUGAGGGAGAGUUAAACGGACCAUCGAGUAUCCAUUGGAGGGCAAGUCUGGUGCCAGCAGCUGCGGUAAUACCAGCUCCAAUAGCGUAUAUUAAAGUUGUUGCAGUUAAAAAGCUCGUAGUUGGACUUGUGUGCGCUGUCCGCGGGUGGCCUGCGCCCAAAAGGGCGUUUCGGUUCGGCCCCGGUGGCGCCUUGAAAUCUGCAGCUGGGGGGACGUUGGCCUUAACUGGUCGGCGACCGCACGCCGGCUGCUCGGUUACUGUGAGAAAAUUAGAGUGUUCAAGGCAGGCAUUGGGUGCAAUUGAAUACAUUAGCAUGGAAUAAUAAAAUAUGGCUCCUGCCGUAUUUUGUUGGUUUUGACUGGUGGGAGUAAUGAUUGAUAGGGACGGUUGGGGGUGCUAGUAUUGAGCGGCCAGAGGUGAAAUUCAUGGAUUCGCUCAAGACUAACUUAUGCGAAAGCAUUCACCAAGGACGUCCUCUUUAAUCAAGAACGAAAGUUGGGGGAUCGAAGACGAUCAGAUACCGUCGUAGUCUCAACCAUAAACUAUGUCGACUUGGGAUCGGCGGUAGUUUUUUCAUUAAGACACUGUCGGGACCACGGGAGAAAUCAAAGUGUCUGGACUCUGGGGGAAGUAUGGUCGCAAGGCUGAAACUUGAAGGAAUUGACGGAAGGGCACCACCAGGAGUGGAGCCUGCGGCUUAAUUUGACACAACACGGGGAAACUUACCAGGUCCAGAGAUGUAGGGGAUUGACAGAUUGAAGCUCUUUCUUGAUCACUUCGGUGGUGGUGCAUGGCCGUUCUUAGUUGGUGGAGUGAUUUGUCUGGUUAAUUCCGUUAACGAACGAGACCUCAGCCUGCUAGUGUAGUCGGCUGGAUUGCCUUUGGCGAUCCGUGAUUUCGACUUCUUAGAGGGACAAUCGACGCGCAGUCGAUGGAAGUUUGAGGCAAUAACAGGUCUGUGAUGCCCUUAGAUGUUCUGGGCCGCACGCGCGUUACACUGCUGGGCUCAGCGAGUUUUACUUGGCCGAGAGGCCCGGUUAAUCUUGUGAAAUCCCAGCGUGCUUGGGCUCGCCUCCUGCAACUGGAGGCGCCAACGAGGAAUUCCUAGUAGACGCAGGUCAUCAACCUGCAUCGAUUACGUCCCUGCCCUUUGUACACACCGCCCGUCGUUCCAUAAGAGUGAGGCAUCCGGUGAAUUCUCGGGAGAGCCUGGGCGUGGCCAGCAAUGGUCUGCUCGGGUUUGAACUUGCAUAAACUUGGUGCCUAUGAUUAGGG